rnacentral:rRNA from 1 species
UACAGAGGGUGCGAGCGUUAAUCGGAAUUACUGGGCGUAAAGGGCGCGUAGGCGGUUAUUUAAGUUAGAUGUGAAAUCCCUGGGCUUAACCUAGGAAUUGCAUCUGAUACUGGAUGGCUGGAGUGCGGUAGAGGGUAGUGGAAUUUCCGGUGUAGCGGUGAAAUGCGUAGAUAUCGGAAGGAACAUCAGUGGCGAAAGCGGCUUCCUGGACCAGUACCGACGUUCAGGCACGAAAGCGUGGGAGCAAACAGG